GACGAACGCUGGCGGCGUGCCUAAUACAUGCAAGUCGAACGCAGUGGGGACGGGUGAGUAACACGUGGGUAACCUCCCAUCAGAGGGGAUAACACUUGGAAACAGGUGCUAAACUGAUACUGAUGGAUGGACUCGCGGUGCAUUAGCUAGUUGGUGAGGUAACGGCUCACCAAGGCCACGAUGCAUAGCCGACCUGAGAGGGUGAUCGGCCACACUGGGACUGAGACACGGCCCAGACUCCUACGGGAGGCAGCAGUAGGGAAUCUUCGGCAAUGGGCGAAAGUCUGACCGAGCAACGCCGCGUGAAUGAAGAAGGUUUUCGGAUCGUAAAGCUCUUUUAUUAGGGAAGCGUUAUCUAACCAGAAAGCCACGGCUAACUACGUGCCAGCAGCCGCGGUAAUAC
rnacentral:rRNA from 1 species